GGUUAAGCGACUAAGCGUACACGGUGGAUGCCCUGGCAGUCAGAGGCGAUGAAGGACGUGCUAAUCUGCGAAAAGCGUCGGUAAGGUGAUAUGAACCGUUAUAACCGGCGAUGUCCGAAUGGGGAAACCCAGUGCAAUUCGUUGCACUAUCGUUAACUGAAUACAUAGGUUAACGAGGCGAACCGGGGGAACUGAAACAUCUAAGUACCCCGAGGAAAAGAAAUCAACCGAGAUUCCCCCAGUAGCGGCGAGCGAACGGGGAGCAGCCCAGAGUCUGAAUCAGCUUGUGUGUUAGUGGAACGGUCUGGAAAGUCCGACGGUACAGGGUGAUAGUCCCGUACACCAAAAUGCACAGGUUGUGAACUCGAAGAGUAGGGCGGGACACGUGGUAUCCUGUCUGAAUAUGGGGGGACCAUCCUCCAAGGCUAAAUACUCCUGACUGACCGAUAGUGAACCAGUACCGUGAGGGAAAGGCGAAAAGAACCCCGGCGAGGGAGUGAAAAAGAACCUGAAACCGUGUACGUACAAGCAGUGGGAGCACCUUCGGGUGUGACUGCGUACCUUUUGUAUAAUGGGUCAGCGACUUAUAUUCUGUAGCAAGGUUAACCGUAUAGGGGAGCCGCAGGGAAACCGAGUCUUAACUGGGCGUUAAGUUGCAGGGUAUAGACCCGAAACCCGGUGAUCUAGCCAUGGGCAGGUUGAAGGUUGGGUAACACUAACUGGAGGACCGAACCGACUAAUGUUGAAAAAUUAGCGGAUGACUUGUGGCUGGGGGUGAAAGGCCAAUCAAACCGGGAGAUAGCUGGUUCUCCCCGAAAGCUAUUUAGGUAGCGCCUCGUGAACUCAUCUUCGGGGGUAGAGCACUGUUUCGGCUAGGGGGUCAUCCCGACUUACCAACCCGAUGCAAACUACGAAUACCGAAGAAUGUUAUCACGGGAGACACACGGCGGGUGCUAACGUCCGUCGUGAAGAGGGAAACAACCCAGACCGCCAGCUAAGGUCCCAAAGUCAUGGUUAAGUGGGAAACGAUGUGGGAAGGCACAGACAGCCAGGAUGUUGGCUUAGAAGCAGCCAUCAUUUAAAGAAAGCGUAAUAGCUCACUGGUCGAGUCGGCCUGCGCGGAAGAUGUAACGGGGCUAAACCAUGCACCGAAGCUGCGGCAGCGACACUAUGUGUUGUUGGGUAGGGGAGCGUUCUGUAAGCCUGCGAAGGUGUGCUGUGAGGCAUGCUGGAGGUAUCAGAAGUGCGAAUGCUGACAUAAGUAACGAUAAAGCGGGUGAAAAGCCCGCUCGCCGGAAGACCAAGGGUUCCUGUCCAACGUUAAUCGGGGCAGGGUGAGUCGACCCCUAAGGCGAGGCCGAAAGGCGUAGUCGAUGGGAAACAGGUUAAUAUUCCUGUACUUGGUGUUACUGCGAAGGGGGGACGGAGAAGGCUAUGUUAGCCGGGCGACGGUUGUCCCGGUUUAAGCAUGUAGGCUGGUUAUCCAGGCAAAUCCGGAUAAUCAAGGCUGAGGUGUGAUGACGAGGCACUACGGUGCUGAAGUAACAAAUGCCCUGCUUCCAGGAAAAGCCUCUAAGCAUCAGGUAACAUCAAAUCGUACCCCAAACCGACACAGGUGGUCAGGUAGAGAAUACCAAGGCGCUUGAGAGAACUCGGGUGAAGGAACUAGGCAAAAUGGUGCCGUAACUUCGGGAGAAGGCACGCUGGUGUGUAGGUGAAGCCCCUGCGGGUGGAGCUGAGACCAGUCGAAGAUACCAGCUGGCUGCAACUGUUUAUUAAAAACACAGCACUGUGCAAACACGAAAGUGGACGUAUACGGUGUGACGCCUGCCCGGUGCCGGAAGGUUAAUUGAUGGGGUUAUCCGUAAGGAGAAGCUCUUGAUCGAAGCCCCGGUAAACGGCGGCCGUAACUAUAACGGUCCUAAGGUAGCGAAAUUCCUUGUCGGGUAAGUUCCGACCUGCACGAAUGGCGUAAUGAUGGCCAGGCUGUCUCCACCCGAGACUCAGUGAAAUUGAACUCGCUGUGAAGAUGCAGUGUACCCGCGGCAAGACGGAAAGACCCCGUGAACCUUUACUAUAGCUUGACACUGAACAUUGAGCCUUGAUGUGUAGGAUAGGUGGGAGGCUUUGAAGCGUGGACGCCAGUCUGCGUGGAGCCAACCUUGAAAUACCACCCUUUAAUGUUUGAUGUUCUAACGUUGGCCCCUGACCGGGGUUGCGGACAGUGUCUGGUGGGUAGUUUGACUGGGGCGGUCUCCUCCCAAAGCGUAACGGAGGAGCACGAAGGUUAGCUAAUCCUGGUCGGACAUCAGGAGGUUAGUGCAAUGGCAUAAGCUAGCUUGACUGCGAGCGUGACGGCGCGAGCAGGUGCGAAAGCAGGUCAUAGUGAUCCGGUGGUUCUGAAUGGAAGGGCCAUCGCUCAACGGAUAAAAGGUACUCCGGGGAUAACAGGCUGAUACCGCCCAAGAGUUCAUAUCGACGGCGGUGUUUGGCACCUCGAUGUCGGCUCAUCACAUCCUGGGGCUGAAGUAGGUCCCAAGGGUAUGGCUGUUCGCCAUUUAAAGUGGUACGCGAGCUGGGUUUAGAACGUCGUGAGACAGUUCGGUCCCUAUCUGCCGUGGGCGCUGGAGAAUUGAGGGGGGCUGCUCCUAGUACGAGAGGACCGGAGUGGACGCAUCACUGGUGUUCGGGUUGUCAUGCCAAUGGCACUGCCCGGUAGCUAAAUGCGGAAGAGAUAAGUGCUGAAAGCAUCUAAGCACGAAACUUGCCCCGAGAUGAGUUCUCCCUGAGACUUUAAGUCUCCUGAAGGAACGUUAAAGACGAUGACGUUGAUAGGCCGGGUGUGUAAGCGCAGCGAUGCGUUGAGCUAACCGGUACUAAUGAACCGUGAGGCUUAACCUU
rnacentral:rRNA from 1 species